AAUGAAAGGAAAGUCGUCUAAUCCAUAAUUCUAUUCUGAAUGGAUGGUAUCUUGUAGUCUUACUAGUUGCAUAGCUUUUUUUGAUAGCAAUCUCAAUCAAACAUGAGAUCCGAUGGGGUUCUUUGCUCGUAUGUUAACCUAAAAAAAGUUUUUUUCAAAUACAUUGUCUAGUAGAGCUCUUUGGUAGGAGAGCUUAAAGCUUGUGGUGAUAUUCACAAAAGACUCAUCAUUGGUGAGAGACCUUUAGCGCACAAGUACCGUGAGGGAAAGAUGAAAAGAACUUUGGAGAGAGAGUUAAAUAGUAUGCAAACAUGUUGAUAGUAAGCGGAUCAAUUUCAUGAACAUUUUUCUGAGACAAUGACAUGUAAUGUAUACUCUGAAUGACGAUAUACGUUAUACUUCUGGCUAGUAAGGGUGAGGUAUGUAUGCUUUUAUCUAUUUUGAUCUGACCCGUCUAGAAACACGGACCAAGGAGUCUAGUAUUGGUGCAAGUAAAUGAAAAUUAAACAUUCCUUUACGCAGGUAACUUAGAUCGUGUGCAUCAUGUCCUAAUGAUCGUAUCGCAGACAGUGUUUUUACCUAGCACGAG
rnacentral:rRNA from 1 species